rnacentral:rRNA from 1 species
UGCGUAGGUGGCUAGGUAAGUCAGAUGUGAAAGCCCGGCGCUCAACGCCGUAACUGCAUUUGAUACUGCUUGGCUAGAGUUUUGAAGAGGAGUCUAGAAUUCACGGUGUAGCAGUGAAAUGCGUGGAUAUCGUGAGGAAUACCAAAGGCGAAGGCAGGACUCUGGGCAAAUACUGACACUGAUGCACGAGGCUGAGGUAGCAAACG